CUGGACUCCAAAACAGCUCUCAGCUUGAACAUGAACAGAAAUCAAGUAGAGACUCCAGAGGAAAAGUGUUCAGACUUAGUAAAUGAAGACUGGGCAAAAUGCCAACUUAAAUUCUUCGUUACAAUAAAUUGUGAUCCUGCAUCUGCUCUCGUACUUGUACAAAUAAAAGCAGGUCAUCAUGAGCGACAUCACCCUCAUGAGGAUCUCUGACAGCGAGAAAGAGAGAAUGCUCCGGGAAAGCCUGCAAAGACCAGGGCCGUAUGCCGCCAUGCUGUGCAGAGCAAUGAUUCCAGAGUACUUGAUAGUCUCGUGGCGUGGCAACGUGUCCUACUACGGAGGACCCAAUAAGGCCGCUCUCCCCAAGAACCUAAUGCAGCGGAUUUCCAAUUACCUCCAGGAGAGCUUCCUCGAGAUGUCACAGGAGGAUUUCUGCUCCAUCCCCGGACAUAUAGACCGCAUUUUACUGUAGCUGCUGUAGCAGUGACUAACCAGUAGAGCGGCUUGGGCAGGACAAUCAUGCAAAACCGGACAUUGCUAGAUUUUUUUUCAAUAGUUGCACUGCCCAUG